rnacentral:rRNA from 1 species
AAUGAACGCUGGCGGCAGGCCUAACACAUGCAAGUCGAACGAAACCUUCGGGUUUAGUGGCGGACGGGUGAGUAACGCGUGGGAACAUACCCAAAGGUACGGAAUAGCCUCGGGAAACUGGGAGUAAUACCGUAUGUGCCCUUCGGGGGAAAGAUUUAUCGCCUUUGGAUUGGCCCGCGUUGGAUUAGGUAGUUGGUGGGGUAAUGGCCUACCAAGCCGACGAUCCAUAGCUGGUUUGAGAGGAUGAUCAGCCACACUGGGACUGAGACACGGCCCAGACUCCUACGGGAGGCAGCAGUGGGGAAUCUUAGACAAUGGGCGCAAGCCUGAUCUAGCCAUGCCGCGUGAUCGAUGAAGGCCUUAGGGUUGUAA